CUUUGGGUGGAGCUGCAGUAGAGUUGGAGGUAGGAGCUGUAGUGGAGUCAAAGGGAGGAUCGAAGGUAGGAUCUGCAGUGGUGUUGGAGGUAGAAGCUGUAGUGGAGUCGGAGGUAGGAGCUGUAGUGGAGUCGAAGGGAGGAUCGAAGGUAGGAUCUGCAGUGGUGUUGGAGGUAGGAUCUGUAGUGGAGUCGGAGGUAGGAUCGAAGGUAGGAUCUGUAGUGGUGUUGGAGGUAGGAGCUGUAGUGGAGUCGGAGGUAGGAGCUGUAGUGGAGUCGAAGGGAGGAUCGAAGGUAGGAUCUGUAGUGGUGUUGGAGGUAGGAUCUGUAGUGGAGUCGGAGGUAGGAGCUGUAGUGGAGUCGAAGGGAGGAUCGAAGGUAGGAUCUGCAGUGGUGUUGGAGGUAGAAGCUGUAGUGGAGUCGGAGGUAGGAUCGAAGGUAGGAUCUGCAGUGUUAAUGCGAGCUAAAAUAAUUUUCAGGGUUAAUUAAUACAAUAAAGCUACAAUAACGCGUUAACUUGUCCAGUCCUAAUUUUUAUAAAAUCUAAAUCUAAAAUCAAGAGAAGUAUUGUAAUAUAACAUUUUAAUUUUCAUG
ensembl:lncRNA